rnacentral:rRNA from 1 species
GAUGAACGCUGCGGCAUGCCUUACACAUGCAAGUCGAACGGCAGCGGGGGAGAAGCUUGCUUUUCCUGCCGGCGAGUGGCGAACGGGUGAGUAAUACAUCGGAACGUGCCCUGUAGUGGGGGAUAACUAGUCGAAAGAUUAGCUAAUACCGCAUACGACCUGAGGGUGAAAGUGGGGGACCGCAAGGCCUCAUGCUAUAGGAGCGGCCGAUGUCUGAUUAGCUAGUUGGUGGGGUAAAGGCCUACCAAGGCGACGAUCAGUAGCUGGUCUGAGAGGAAGAUCAGCCACACUGGGACCGAGACACGGCCCAGACUCCUACGGGAGGCAGCAGUGGGGAAUUUUGGACAAUGGGCGAAUGCCUGAUCCAGCAACGCCGCGUGUGUGAAGAAGGCCUUCGGGUUGUAAAGCACUUUUGUCCGGAAAGAAAUGGCUCUGGUUAAUACCUGGGGUCGAUGACGGUACCGGAAGAAUAAGGACCGGCUAACUACGUGCCAGCAGCCGCCGUAA